GUGCCAGCAGCCGCGGUAAUACGAAGGGGGCUAGCGUUGUUCGGAAUUACUGGGCGUAAAGGGCGCGUAGGCGGCCCUGUCAGUCAGGCGUGAAAGCCCCGGGCUCAACCUGGGAACUGCGCUUGAUACUGCAGGGCUUGAGUUCCGGAGAGGAUGGUGGAAUUCCCAGUGUAGAGGUGAAAUUCGUAGAUAUUGGGAAGAACACCGGUGGCGAAGGCGGCCAUCUGGACGGACACUGACGCUGAGGCGCGAAAGCGUGGGGAGCAAACAGGAUUAGAUACCCUUGUAGUCC
rnacentral:rRNA from 1 species